GAGUUUGAUCCUGGCUCAGGACGAACGCUGGCGGCGUGCUUAACACAUGCAAGUCGAACGGAAAGGCCCUUCGGGGUACCCGAGUGGCGAACGGGUGAGUAACACGUGGGUGAUCUGCCCUGCACUUUGGGAUAAGCCUGGGAAACUGGGUCUAAUACCGAAUAGGACCGCGCGCUUCAUGGUGUGUGGUGGAAAGCUUUUGCGGUGUGGGAUGGGCCCGCGGCCUAUCAGCUUGUUGGUGGGGUAAUGGCCUACCAAGGCGACGACGGGUAGCCGGCCUGAGAGGGUGACCGGCCACACUGGGACUGAGAUACGGCCCAGACUCCUACAGGAGGCAGCAGUGGGGAAUAUUGCACAAUGGGCGCAAGCCUGAUGCAGCGACGCCGCGUGAGGGAUGACGGCCUUCGGGUUGUAAACCUCUUUCACCAGGGACGAAGCGCAAGUGACGGUACCUGGAGAAGAAGCACCGGCCAACUACGUGCCAGCAGCCGCGGUAAUACGUAGGGUGCGAGCGUUGUCCGGAAUUACUGGGCGUAAAGAGCUCGUAGGUGGUUUGUCGCGUUGUUCGUGAAAACUCACAGCUUAACUGUGGGCGUGCGGGCGAUACGGGCAGACUAGAGUACUGCAGGGGAGACUGGAAUUCCUGGUGUAGCGGUGGAAUGCGCAGAUAUCAGGAGGAACACCGGUGGCGAAGGCGGGUCUCUGGGCAGUAACUGACGCUGAGGAGCGAAAGCGUGGGGAGCGAACAGGAUUAGAUACCCUGGUAGUC
rnacentral:rRNA from 1 species